UUUUGCAUUGAAAGAUAUUUAAGUAUAUGGAUUUUUAGAUAUAAAUUUUACAUCCAAAAUCCACAAUUUUAGAUAUAAAAUAAAUGAAUUAAUUUUUUAUUAUUUAUUUAUGGGAUUUUCAUGGUCAAAAUAGAUCCAUUUAUAUCGUAAUUUGAAUAUGUGCAUAACUUAAAUUAGACAUAUUUUAAUUUGUGAUUCAUCUAUAAAUGUACGUCUCUAUUUCUCUAAUUUUUAAAACACCAUUAUUUCACUAUCGAGGAUGAAAGUUGCUUUCAAUUCUUGGCUUAUUGGUUUUUUUAUGCUCACAAUUUUUCUGUUUGGUGAAAUGGCGAUUGCUCAGAAGAAAAAAAACUGACAACCAAUGUAAUCUUCCAUUACGAAA